rnacentral:lncRNA from 10 species
CAUAUGGAGAGGAGCUGGAAUCUUUGGUUGAAGGACCAGAAAUCCUGAAGUGGCCUAGCAGGGAAAGGAGCUGAGGAAAUAAAUACCUCUGUCCCCCGCUAGCUCCUGCUGGGCUUCCUAUUGGCUGAACCUAAUGGGAAGCCAGUGGGCAAGGGAGACAGGCCCCACCAGAAGAGGAAAUUAAGACACAGAGAUGUACAGAGGACACCAUUUGAAGACACAGAGAGAAGAUGGCCACCUAAAAGCCCAGGGCAGAGGCCUCAGAAGAAAUCAUCUCUUUGAUCUUGGACUCUCGGCCUCCAGAAUCAUGAGAAAAUAAAUGUCUGUUAUUUAAG